rnacentral:lncRNA from 1 species
AGCACAGCACGAGGCAGAGGAACAGAGAGAGGUCCUCGGAAGUCUCUUUCCAGAAAAUCUAAUUUCAUCAUUGAGAAAUCUUCUGUCUUAAACAGCCUCCACCACCGCCAUAAAUUUACAUAUUCUAUAUGCCGCCGGAACGGAGUGGGCCCUAUUUGCAUAAUGCUGCUGGAGGGGCUCACGCUCCUCUUGAACCUGAAUGUAGCAGGAGCGAGGAAGCAAUUAUUAAGCUGUAGACGGUGGCAGGGAGAGAGGCCCUCAGAUGGAUUUCGACUCCAAACCUCAUUCGCCAGGGCUGCUCAUUACCGAAGGCCUGGAUCCCAGGCUGAAGGUGGAUCCCAGGGCUGGGAAAAAUCAGUGUGAAUUGCUUUCUCCAGGUUAUGUCUGCAGCCAGGCCGAGGCCAGAUAUGGGGGGUCUUUGAGCAUCCUGGAUGAUUCAUUGCCUUGCUCAGCCAUUUAUUCAACAAUCACAGGACACUGGACACAGAGAUGAACAAAACAAAUGGACUUCCUGCCCUCACAAGGAUUACAGCUCUAGAGCAGGAAGACAAACCUUCAUCAAACAACAUGUAAAUACAGUCAUGCGUCAUUUAACAACAGGGAUACGUUUUGAGAAAUGUGUCAUUAGGCGAUUUCAUCAUCGUGCAAACAUCAUGGGGUACUUACACAAACCUAGAUGGUAUUAAUAUUUUUGCAUGUUUUUAUUUACAUAUUAGGUUGGUGCAAAAGUAAUUGUGGUUUUGCCUUAAAAGUAAUGGCAAAAACCAUGAUUACUUUUACACCAACUUAAUAUUUUUUCAUAUGGAAAACCAAAUGUUUCAGCACCAUUACUGAAUAUCAGUCAUUUUCCCUACUUGAUCUGCAAUGUCAAUAUCAAAUGCUAUUCAUCAGGUUUCUAUGUAUGUUCCAUUAUAAUCUUAUGGGACCACAAUCAUAUAUGUGGUCCAUUGUUGACCGCUAUUUUGUUAUGCAGUGGAUAACUGUAUAUAUCAUAUCCCCACUAAGGAGAGAGGUUAAGAUGGAGUCACAGUAGUUGGCCUGGUCUGAGAGAUUGGGAACGACAUCUCUGAGGACUAGGGCUGAGAAGGGAUUAGGACUAAAGGAAGAGGGGAAGGAAGGGCCUCCCUGGCAGACAGAGCAGUGAGUACAAAGGCCAUGUGGUGAAAGGAAGUAUUGGAAGUGACUGGGAGUAAAAUAAUGGAUGUGAGAAGCUCUCAAGAGGUACACGAAAGAUUGCAUAAAACUCUAAAAUGUUUAGAACCCUGGUAUCUGAGCCAAUGAUUCUGGAACUGUGGCCUAAAGAACACUUAUUCAGAAAUGCAGGCCCCAGACCUCUUGAAUCAGACUCCAGUGGCAGGACUCUGGGAUGUAUAUUUUACUGAAAGAUUAGAUACACCUUAAAGCUUUAAAACUUGUCUGUUUGCAUGACUAUGUCCCUCUGCAGCCCACAACCUGGGAGGACUGGGACGCUAUCUUAUAUAUCCGUAUGUAUCUCCUGUGCUUGACACAGAAGAGAAUAUACUUGUUGAAUGAGUGAAUGAAAUGAUUCAAUGUUUUCUCAAUGUGAAAUGUUGUCAUCAUCAUCAUUAAGGAGAAUAUUGCAAGACAAGUUAUAAAGCUCAUGUCACAAACAGGUCCUGGAGACUCUGGGUCCUCUGAGGUCAAAUCUUGAAGUGCAAUUGGCAUUUCCGGGAGUGGAAUCCAGGACUCACACCCAGGACAAGCAAAGACACAGUGGCAGUGAGAUCAUUACAUACACUCUCCUGAAGCACUCCCCUACAAUCCCCCUACAACACAGUAUUUUGGCAACUAUUGCUAGAAAAAUGGGAACUACGAUGUAUUAAGUACCUACCAUGUGUUACCUCCUAUAUGAGCUUUAUCUCAUUUAAUCUUGGCAGUGGUCUUAUUUUACACACAAUGAAACUGAGGCUCAGAGAGGUGAAGUCACUAAGUCAGGUAACGGCAGAUCUGGCAUGCACACCUAAGUCUAUGUAUCACCUGAGCCCAAGCUCAUUGCUUCUUCCUGACCAUGCUUCUUCCCUUCCAGCCCUUCCACUCCCACGGCUCCCCACUCCAUCCCCGUGAUAAGCCAAAGUUGAGUACUCUGGACACCAGAAUAAUAAGUGGGAAAGAGAGGGACGGGUCUGAUGAGUUACCAUGAAAUGAGCACCGGACUGUGGGUCAAGAGGCCAACCCCAGCUUUGCUGCUGACAUUCUGUGUUGUCUUGAACAAGUCACACCCUCUCUUAAGGUCUCCAUUUCUUCAUACAUAAGUGAAAUAAAUAUAUAAAAAUAUCCACCUGUCCUGUAUCAUGGACUUUAAUGAGAUAAUGUCUAGAAAAAAGAGUUCUAUGGCACAAAUAAAAUAAGUGAAUAGUAACUAA